GCGUAAAGGAUCAUGGACAAUCAAGUACGCUUGUAUUUUUGGUUUUUUAUACAUAUUUAAAAAUAAAUAUUAUUACUAUUUAAAAAUAAUAUAUUUAGCCCACCCCCUACCAAAAAGAAAAAAAAUCCAGGGCACACCUUUGGAAUAUUCUUUGGAUAGCCAUACGAGGGGAGUUAUUUAAUUGGAGGUCAGCAGCCUGCAAUUAGCCACUAAUAUUUGUAAUUUUUAAGUAAAAUACAUUUGACGUAUUUUACCUUGUUGAUUUUUACUAUGUUGUUUUUUAAAUGUCUUUUUUUUAGAUUACCGUUAGAUCCAUUUAACUAUUAAUUUACCUCCUUUAACUUUAACUUGUAAACUUAACAACUUGUAAAAAUUCUUUAACUUCCCAACAGACGGAUGUGGACGCACAACUAUUAUUUUGGUUUGGAUGCGCCACACUGUUGACAACAUGUAUCUGUAUUUGACAAAUUUGUUGCCAACACUCAGCAACGUGUUGUCAAUAGUUGUCAACAAAAUGUUGCUUAAUAUUUUAAGAAUUUACUUUAAUUUAUUAAUAAAAAAAUUAAUGGCUAAG